rnacentral:misc_RNA from 1 species
GCCGAUUGAACGUGCUCAGAUUCACUUAUUUUAUACUUUUCCAUGUAGUUGGAAAUUGGAAGUAUGGGAAUUUUGGUUUGAAGAAUCCCAUUAUUGUUGUAGACAAAUGGAAGUGACAAAGCAUCGACAGGAUGAAUGUUAGAAAUCUUUCUAUCAUACCUUUGAUGUACAUGCAUAGCUGCUGUCCUGUAAACACCUCUACCGAAGAAAU